rnacentral:tRNA from 1 species
UAUAGGGAGACCAACUUUUCAGUGAACAAUCAACAGUUAACACUGAGCAGUGUUGUAACUGCUCAUGAUUGAUAACUGAUAAUAACUGAUAACUGAAAGGGCAUCCCUUGGUCGGUCGCAAUCUUAAGGAAAGCUUUCAAACUAUAAACAGGGUUCUUUAUGGGCUAUUAGCUCAGGUGGUUAGAGCGCACCCCUGAUAAGGGUGAGGUCCCUGGUUCGAGUCCAGGAUGGCCCACCUGAAGACAGUGAGCAGUCAACACUCAUCAGUAAACAGUAAAAAACUGAUAACUGGUAGCUGGUAACUGAAAACUGACUUAGGGGGGUUUAGCUCAGUUGGUAGAGCGCCUGCUUUGCAAGCAGGAUGUCAGCGGUUCGAGUCCGCUAACCUCCACCUAUUCAAACGGAAAAAUUGUCACGAAAAAAUUGCUCUUAAGUAAGAAAAAACUGAGAAAAAAGUUUUUGUGGCGGUUGGAAGUGUGAUACGAUGAAAAAAUGUGGAUAAUUCAGCAACAUGACAAGAGUCAGACUGCUGGAUGAUAUCCAGCCAGAACCUUGAAAACUGCAUAGUAACGCGAAGCAGGUAGACACAGACAUAAUAUGCAUGAUCGCAUGAAUGAAAGUGUUUGCUUUGAUAGGAAUCACCAAUGCGUGAAGU